rnacentral:rRNA from 1 species
AGCAGCCGCGGUAAUUCCAGCUCCAAUAGCGUAUAUUAAAGUUGUUGCAGUUAAAAAGCUCGUAGUUGAAUUUCGGGGUUAGCAGGUCGGUCGUGCCAUCGGUAUGAACUGGUCUCGCUGAUCCCUCCCUCUUGACGAACUGUGAUGCCAUUAAUUUGGUGUCGCAGGGAAUCAGGACUGUUACUUUGAAAAAAUUAGAGUGUUUAAAGCAGGCUCACGCUUGAAUACAUUAGCAUGGAAUAAUGAAAUAGGACGUUUGAUCCUAUUUUGUUGGCUUCUAGGAUUGACGUAAUGAUUAAUAGGGAUAGUUGGGGGCAUUAGUAUUCAAUUGUCAGAGGUGAAAUUCUUGGAUUUAUUGAAGACUAACUACUGCGUAAAGCAUUUGCCAAGGAUGUUUUCAUUAAUCAAGAACGAAAGUUAGGGGAUCGAAAACGAUCAGAUACCGUCGUAGUCUUAACCAUAAACUAUGCCGACUAGGGAUCGGAUGAUGUUAAUUUUUAAUGUA